rnacentral:lncRNA from 1 species
UGCCUGGAGGGGACCCGCCGCCAUCUCAGGUCUCUUGGCUUUGCCAGGGCCCACCGGAGAAAACUGACGACCCGUUUCUGUAAUCCUUAUGGGAGACCAACCUUGUGCCUCCGGGAGAUCCACUCUCCCACCUGGAAACGCACGGGAAGCCAAGCCUCCAAAAAAGCGCUGCCUCCUCGCUCCGCGUUGGGAUUAUCCGGAAGGAACUCCCAACGGAGGUAGUACCACUCUACCCUCCGCACCUCCUCCUGCAUCAGCCGGCCUGAAGUCGCACCCUCCUCCUCCGGAGAAGUAGAGAAAUAAAUUUCUCCCACCCUAAACCAGUCUUUGAGCGAUUGCAGUAUGACUCCAUUUCCCUGGUGCAUUCAUAUAAUAGUUCACCUGGUGAAAACAAUGAAGAUUAUUUACAAUGCUACCCUGCUUUUUCUGGUGUCCUGCACCUGGAAGUUGUGCUUUUUAAGUCUUAUGAUGUAAUCAGCGUGAUUUCACUUCCUGAAUUUUGAUGAACUCUAAGACAUGGGCAAGAUCGGGUUGUAAGACCUCUGAGAUUUAAGGCCAUGGCCUGGAUCAUGGUGAACUUACCAAAGCAAACAAUGCCUGUGAGAUGGUCCUGCAGCAACCAACCAGUGCGCUCUUUUGGUGACAUCCAGUUCUUGUUGUAUAACUUUAUAUCCCUAUAAAUCCAUUAAGGCCCCAAUAAAGUUUGUCUCUAAGUGCUGUGUUAGAUCUAUAUGACUACAUCUAGUAAAUUGUGAAUUUUAAGUAAAUAUUUUCUAAGAACUCCUAUGUAAAGCAUUACUAAAAUUAGUGUUGAAAUAUGACCUUCUUCCUACAUUUAUUCAUUUAUUUAUGUCUAUUUAUUCAUUUAUUUUAGUGAAAAAUAUAAAGAAAGGAGAGGAAGGUUAAAUCCAAAAAAGAAUUCAAUUUCCAGUACACUUACUUUACUUUGCUGUCAGUUUUUGCAUGGAAUCUACAUCUUUUUAUGCUAAUCCUCAUCAUAUUAUUUUACAUCUUAACUAUUUUUUUCUGACUAAAAUGGUUGAUGUGCUUGUUUUUUGUAAUUUUCUACUUUCUAAAAUGCUUAGUAUUGAACAAAUAGAAUAUCCUAAUUAAAAACAGUAAUAAAUAUUAUGGUGAAAAAAUACAAGUAAAAUGGGAAAACAUUAGAUAGCAGCUUUCAAUAUUUCAUAUAGUUCAUAAAUUUUUCAGGAAUUAGAAGGUUAUAGAAAAAAAUUUAUAGACUAUAAUAAUUUCCAGGGAUAUAAAAAAUAAAGCUUCUACCUCUGAAUUGUAAUAAAAGAUAAACAGAUUUGAAAGCAUAUAUUAUAUCCGAAAAUGUCAGAUAAACUUGGCUUAUAAAUUAAAAUAUAAAAUAAUAAUACAAUUUGUUCAAAUAAGUAAUUAAAGCUGACAUUGUAAAAUGAAUAUUUAGAGAGAUUGUGAAACCUGAGUAUUUUACCCAGUCCUCUGAAAUUAGUCCCUAGCAUCAGAAUUAAAGAAUCUGGAAAAUCACAAACGGAGGAAUGGUGACAUUUAUGUAUAUUCUAGAGUUAUGUUAUGCACACUUAAUAAAUUAUAGACAGUUAUUUUAAAGAUUGUAUAAUAUUACUAAUCACACAUUAGAGUUUUAAAACUUCUGAGCCAGCCUGAACAUCACAAACAGUAAACACAGACUUCUUUAAAAUGACAUCUGGUGAAAGGUAUUUUAUGCAUCAGAAGGCAUAGUAUUAUAAAGAUGACAACACUCUUCAAAAUAAUCAAAAUAUUUAAUGCAACCCUUAUCAAAAUUAAGGUUGCCUACUUUGAAGAAAUUUAUAACCUGAUUCUAAAGUUCAUAUGAAAAUGUAAUGGACCCAGAAUAGCCAAAACAAUCUUGAAGUAUACAAAGUUUGAAGGUCACAUUUCCAAAUUUUAAAACUUAUUACAAAGCUACAAUAAACAAGUCUAUGUGGUACUGGCAUAGGAUAUAAAUAUUGAUCAAUGAAAGAAAAAAAGUCCUUCUGAAGUGUAACAAAAUAUGCACUAAAUAAAUUUAAAAUGCUGUGACAAAGAAAAAGAAAAAAGAAAUAGAAUCCAAAGUCCAGACAUAAGCCCUCACAAAAGUUAAUUUGCAGCCAAUUAACUUCUGACAAGGAGGCAAGACAUAAGGGAAAAUAACUAUUUUCAACAAAUGGUACUGGGACAAUUUGGUAUCUACAUGCAAAAAAAAAAAAAAAAA